AUAUAGAUACAUAUCUAAAUAUGCUCAUAUAUAUUUAAAUGAUAAACUUCUGGAAAGUUUUACAGAUUUUUAGUUUCAGUAAUGGAUUGGAUCUCUAGUCUUCCAAUUAGCUUUCUCCUUUCUGGUUUUUGAGAAGCCUAAUUUCUCAAGAUUAAUAUUUAGGC